rnacentral:rRNA from 1 species
GACGUAGGGCGCGAGCGUUGUCCGGAUUUAUUGGGCGUAAAGAGCUCGUAGGCGGCUUGUUGCGUCGACUGUGAAAACCCGCGGCUUAACUGCGGGCUUGCAGUUGAUACGGGCAGGCUAGAGUUCGGUAGGGGAGACUGGAAUUCCUGGUGUAGCGGUGAAAUGCGCAGAUAUCAGGAGGAACACCUGUGGCGAAGGCGGGUCUCUGGGCCGAUACUGACGCUGAGGAGCGAAAGCGUGGGGAGCAAACAGG